CAGAACUCGAAUAAACCCAAAAGUUAGGGUUUUCAACACCAAUUGAGUCUAGAGAUGAUAAACAAGUAAAUCAAACAAAUAAGUAGUCUUAGGAACUCGAAUAAGCCGAAAAGUUAGGGUUUUCAACGCCAAUCGAGUCUAGAGAUGAUAAACAAGUAAAUCAAACAAAUACUAACAAAUGGGCUCAGAAAACUCAGAAGAAAUUAGGGUUCUUAUCAUGCAAACUCAUAGAGGAGAACAAUACGAGCUAACAUAGCAUAACAUGUUAAAAAUCAUAGAAGGUUUUGAAAUAACUUAACAAGAAAACCGUAAUCGAAAAAGAUAAAGAGUUUUGGAAGUAGAGUUUUAAAAGAAAUUUCGAGAAAAAUGCUUAGAAGUUCAUAGAAAACAUAGGUCUGAAACAGGUCUGGAAAAAAUCAAAAGAACCUUAGAAAUUAGGGUUUCAGAAGACCCCAAGUGAUAACAAAAGGCCUUGAAAUCCAUUGAUCUAAGUAGAAGAGUCAAAGAUCUGACUCGAAUGGCCAUAGUUAGCCGGAGAAAGAUUAGAGACGACCAAAGAACAGUCAUUGAGCAAAGUUUGGUCCAAUCCCCUUCAUGCUCUGGUCAUGAGACCACAUAAACAAAUGCGUAGAAACCAUGGGAAUGAAGGUCUCUGAUGACCUUGGAAGGCCAUGAAUUAGGGUGGAAUAGGGUGGCGGCGGAUAGGGUUUGAUGGGGUUUUAGAGAGAAUUUGGGAGAGAAGGGGUUUCAGAGGUGGC
rnacentral:lncRNA from 1 species